UACAGCGGGUAGUCGCUGCCUGAUAUUCAGGUAGAGGAAAGUCGAGACACGCACAUCCUGCAGGCAAUAAGGUGUUUUUUAUGGUCUGUAAGAUGUAGUAUGGUGCCUGGCGCAAGCCAGGGCAGGGUAACCUGACGACGGCAAAAGGAACUUUAGAAGUUUCAAGUAGCUGUAAAGUGCCACAGAAACGAUGUUGUCGGGCGACCGGCAAGUGCAAGGGUAAACUCCACUGGCGUGCAACCCGAAUAGGCGGAUUUAUUUCAUCCGCGGGUAGGGGCACCCCGCAAGGGGAAGGAAGCAAGUCUUCCUUAGAAAGAUGACUGCCAAAACAGAAUCUCGCUUACGGCU
rnacentral:RNase_P_RNA from 1 species